rnacentral:rRNA from 1 species
UACGUAGGGACCGAGCGUUGUCCGGAAUCAUUGGGCGUAAAGAGCGUGUAGGCGGCCUUUUAAGUCCUGCGUGAAAUCCUGCGGCUCAACCGCAGACGGUCGUGGGAAACUGCGAGGCUCGAGUCCUGGAGAGGGUAGUGGAAUUCCCAGUGUAGCGGUGAAAUGCGUAGAUACUGGGAGGAACACCGGUGGCGAAGGCGGCUACCUGGACAGGUACUGACGCUGAUGCGCGAAAGCCAGGGGAGCAAACAGG